rnacentral:tRNA from 1 species
GUCGCGAUGGCCGAUUGGUAAAGGCGAUGGACUCGGAAUCCAUUGGGGAUUCCCUGCGUAGGUUCAAAUCCUGCUCGAGACG